CGGGGGCCGCCGGUCAUAGGCAGCCACAGAGGCUCGUUCAUGUCACCCUUCUCGUCUGGGGCAGUGAAAUCCUAGACGGGGCCAGUCUCUCCUCCUCCAAUCCCCACCUCCUCCUCUCCUCCCCAAUAGCCGCCACCUCUCCUCCGUCCCCAAUCCACGACCUUCUCUCUCCCUCUCCAGCGGGAGCGGCACUUGAGCGACUGAGGCGGCUGGACGUGGGAGCCGGCGGCGGCAGGGCCCGCGCGCCUAGCGACGGCGGCGGCUGGACGCGGCGGUGGCAGGCAGCGCGCGCCGAGAUCCGCACGCACUCCUCAGCCCCGCCGGUGGCUUCCUACAUCUCCACGCGGCGGUUGACGAUGCAGAGAUGGGCGACGAGCCACGGGAGCUCGCCGCGCGCGUGCAGUUCGUCUUCGUCCACCAGCGGCCGCGAUGCGCACGUCGCGCAUGCUCCUCCUCCUCGGCUUGUUCUCGUCUCCGUCGGGCAGGUGAGUUACUGCUUCCUUCCUCUUUCUCUCGUCGACUGUAUGUGGGUACUGUGCUUGUGUUGUUACCGUUGUGGGCUGAUGCUAGAUGUGUGUGUGCUGCUGGUUGUAACCGGUGAUGGACGCGGUAACGGAGGCUUGCUGGACAGCCAGAUGCGAUGGCGCGACGGCUGGACACGGCGGCGGCGGAUGCUCGCCGGAUGGUGGAUGGCUGGACGGCCGGCAUGCCUAGGAGGCGCGAGUCAGGCGGCACCGGGUUCAGAUCAGAACCAUUAACGAGACAUCCAGGGAAGGCAGAGAAACGAUUCUUCUAUUGUGCUUUUGUUGGCCGUUCAUUCUGGCCUCGGCAGAAGCAGGACAAGGUCCCCCAACACCUUACUGGGAGCUGAUGUUGCUCUUCCUGAUUAAUUUUGAGGACUUGGUGCUCCUUCAUCUCCUCCCCGAAGAUGUCAACAAGAUGUCUGGCGGCAGCAGGCCUUGUGCCGUGCUUGAGGCUGCGACUCCCCUGGUAGUGCGGUGUCCUCGGGCUAGAUGGCCAUCCUUGCAAAACAAAAUCAGGACACUUUCCAAGUUUCUUGUUGCCAUGGCUUUUAUACUCAAAUCUCCCCACUAAAAAUAUACAAGUUCUCUACUAUGGGUGUUAUUCUUUAUGUACUCACGAUUUUUCUCCAUCAGUGAUUUGUGUGAAGUGCCAUUGUUGUUCAUUGUUUGCUUGGCAUGUAACUAAACUAAAAAGAUAAAUAAUCAUAAAAUGAAAAAUAAUUAGAAUUAUUUGGUUUACCAAACUUAUAUGUUUGUAUUUAAUGGUAAAAUUCAAAAGGAUUGAACACUAAUCUGAAGUUUUCCUUCAUUUAGAGAAGCGGGGGAUCAUAUACCUUUGAAUCGCCUUUUUUAUUCUUUAUUGCUAGAUUUGCUAACACAUUACCUUUUGUGCUGCUGAUUGAUUUGCAGGGUUAUAUUAGUUUUGGUUGAGAUAGAAAAGUUCCAGGCUUAGUAAUAUUUUGAGAGAAUUGAGUUGCUGAAUACAAAGGUGAUCACUCGCUUGCCGCCACCUGAAGGACCUAACCUGAGGUUUCACAUGCUUCAUGAAAUUUUACUUAAAUGAUCAAAGAAUUGCGGGUAUAAUUAUAAUACAAGAUCACCAAGUUUACUCUUCCUCCUUUUAACCACACCUCCUUAGUGCGUUCAUCUGCUUUUUAAUUUGUCACAGUUGGUGCUACUCGAUUUUACAAUUGAAAUUCCUUUUUAGCUCUAAUUUUCUGUUUCUACUUGAUUUAGCACUCCCAAGUGAACUCCUACCGGCUGGUUUCUUGCUUAGCCUGUGAAGAAUCCGCUUAUUAUGUAUUUCCUUACCUUUUAUUCAAAACUCAUCAUUGUUGAUUUCCUUCUAUCUAUCAAUUGUGCAUCCAUC